rnacentral:rRNA from 1 species
AGUCGAGCGGUAGCAGGCCUUCGGGUGCUGACGAGCGGCGAACGGGUGAGUAACGCGUAGGAAUCUGCCUGAUAGAGGGGGAUAGCCCGGGGAAACUCGGAUUAAUACCGCAUACGCCCUACGGGGGAAAGCAGGGGAUCUUAGGACCUUGCGCUAUCAGAUGAGCCUGCGUCGGAUUAGCUAGUUGGUAGGGUAAAGGCCUACCAAGGCGACGAUCCGUAACUGGUCUGAGAGGAUGAUCAGUCACACUGGAACUGAGACACGGUCCAGACUCCUACGGGAGGCAGCAGUGGGGAAUAUUGGACAAUGGGGGAAACCCUGAUCCAGCCAUGCCGCGUGUGUGAAGAAGGCCUUCGGGUUGUAAAGCACUUUAAGCAGGGAGGAAAGAGUGAUGGCUAACAUCCAUUAUUUUUGACGCUACCUGCAGAAUAAGCACCGGCUAACUUCGUGCCAGCAGCCGCGGUAAUACGAAGGGUGCAAGCGUUAAUCGGAAUUACUGGGCGUAAAGCGCGCGUAGGCGGUUUGAUAAGUUGGAUGUGAAAGCCCCGGGCUCAACCUGGGAAUUGCAUCCAAGACUGUCAGGCUAGAGUACGGGAGAGGGGGGUAGAAUUCCACGUGUAGCGGUGAAAUGCGUANAGAUGUGGAGGAAUACCGGUGGCGAAGGCNGCCCCCUGGAUCNAUACUGACGCUGNNGUGCGAAAGCGUGGNGGANCAAANCAGGANUANNUACCCUGGUANUCCACGCCNNAAACUAUGUCAACUANNCNUUGGAAGGGUAAUCCUUUGAUNGGCGCA